rnacentral:rRNA from 1 species
UACGAAGGGGGCUAGCGUUGUUCGGAAUUACUGGGCGUAACGCGCACGUAGGCGGCGCAGCAAGUUGGGGGUGAAAUCCCGAGGCUCAACCUCGGAAUUGCCUUCAAAACUGCUGUGCUCGAGUUCGGAAGAGGUGAGUGGAAUUCCCAGUGUAGAGGUGAAAUUCGUAGAGAUUGGGAAGAACACCAGUGGCGAAGGCGGCCCACUGGUCCGCAACUGACGCUGAGGUGCGAAAGCGUGGGGAGCAAACAGG